GACGAACGCUGGCGGCGUGCCUAAUACAUGCAAGUCGAACGCUGAAGGAGGAGCUUGCUUCUCUGGAUGAGUUGCGAACGGGUGAGUAACGCGUAGGUAACCUGCCUGGUAGCGGGGGAUAACUAUUGGAAACGAUAGCUAAUACCGCAUAAGAGUAGAUGUUGCAUGACAUUUGCUUAAAAGGUGCAAUUGCAUCACUACCAGAUGGACCUGCGUUGUAUUAGCUAGUUGGUGGGGUAACGGCUCACCAAGGCGACGAUACAUAGCCGGCCUGAGAGGGUGAUCGGCCACACUGGGACUGAGACACGGCCCAGACUCCUACGGGAGGCAGCAGUAGGGAAUCUUCGGCAAUGGACGGAAGUCUGACCGAGCAACGCCGCGGGAGUGAAGAAGGUUUUCGGAUCGUAAAGCUCUGUUGUAAGAGAAGAACGAGUGUGAGAGUGGAAAGUUCACACUGUGACGGUAGCUUACCAGAAAGGGACGGCUAACUACGUG
rnacentral:rRNA from 1 species